AGCGGCGUAAGGGGCAGUAAUACCUGGGAACGUACCCUUUGGUCGGGGAUAGCUGCUGGAAACGGCGAGUAAUACCCGAUGAACUCGAGAGAGCAAAGGCUUGCCGCCGGAGGAGCGGCCCAGGCGAUAUUAGCUAGUUGGUGGGGUAAUGGCCUACCAAGGCUUAGAUGUCUAGCGGGUGUGAGAGCACGACCCGCGCCACUGGCACUGAGACACUGGCCAGACACCUACGGGUGGCUGCAGUCGAGAAUCUUCGGCAAUGAGCGCAAGCUUGACCGAGCGACGCCGCGUGCGGGAUGAAGGCCUUCGGGUUGUAAACCGCUUUGGUCCGAAAGAAAGGGUAAAACUUGAUCGAUCGGAGAAACAAGGACGGGCUAAGUUCGUGCCAGCAGCCGCGGUAAGACGAACCGUCCAAACGUUAUUCGGAAUCACUGGGCUUAAAGGGCGCGUAGGCGGCCGAGCGGGUCACGGGUGAAAUCCCCCAGCUUAACUGGGGAACUGCCCUUGAUACCACUGCGGCUCGAGGAAGGAAGGGGUCAUGGGAACUGUCGGUGGAGCGGUGGAAUGCGUUGAUAUCGACAGGAACGCCUGUGGCGAAAGCGCAUGACUGGUCCUUUUCUGACGCUGAGGCGCGAAAGCCAGGGGAGCAAACGGGAUUAGAUACCCCGGUAGUCCUGGCCUUAAACGAUGAGAACUAGGU
rnacentral:rRNA from 1 species